rnacentral:rRNA from 1 species
UUGGAGGGCAAGUCUGGUGCCAGCAGCCGCGGUAAUUCCAGCUCCAAUAGCGUAUAUUAAAGUUGUUGCAGUUAAAAAGCUCGUAGUUGAAUUUCGGGAUUAGUACGUCGGUCGUGCCUUAGGUACGUACUGGUGUUACUGGUUCCUACCUUCUGACGAACCAUCAUGUCAUUAAUUUGGUGUGGUGGGGAAUCAGGACUGUUACUUUGAAAAAAUUAGAGUGUUUAAAGCAGGCUCGCGCUUGAAUACAUUAGCAUGGAAUAAUGAAAUAGGACGUUGACCCUAUUUUGUUGGUUUCUAGGAUUGACGUAAUGAUUAAUAGGGAUAGUUGGGGGCAUUAGUAUUCAAUUGUCAGAGGUGAAAUUCUUGGAUUUAUUGAAGACUAACUACUGCGAAAGCAUUUGCCAAGGAUGUUUUCAUUAAUCAAGAACGAAAGUUAGGGGAUCGAAGACGAUCAGAUACCGUCGUAGUCUUAACCAUAAACUAUGCCGACUAGGGAUCGGAUGAUGUUAUUUUUAAUGACUCAUUCGGCGCCUUACGGGAAAC